GAUGAACGCUAGCUACAGGCUUAACACAUGCAAGUCGCGGGGCAGCAUUUCCUUAGCUUGCUAAGGAAGAUGGCGACCGGCGCACGGGUGAGUAACGCGUAUCCAACCUUCCCAUGUCCACGGGAUAGCCCGUCGAAAGGCGGAUUAAUACCGUAUGAGGUCACAUGCGGGCAUCUAAGUGUGACGAAAGGUUUAGCGGACAUGGAUGGGGAUGCGUCUGAUUAGCUUGUUGGCGGGGUAAACGGCCCACCAAGGCGACGAUCAGUAGGGGUUCNGAGAGGAAGGUCCCCCCACAUUUGGAACCUGAGACACGGUCCAAAACUCCUACGGGAGGCAGCAGUUGAGGAAUAU
rnacentral:rRNA from 1 species